AUUUUGCCGUGUGUCGGCUGGCGAUCCUUCAAAUCAAUGUCUCCUUUCUUGACGAAGCCGUGCGUGCCAUGCGUCGUGCAUAAGUGUUCCUCCUGCGUCUCCUUGGAUGUUGCCGGGUCUCCUGGAAAUUCAUCCACAGCUGGAAACCAAAAUUGUGCUUCAUCCCAGACCACAGCUUAUCUCCACAUCAAAGCCUCAUAUCACCAUUACAUCUCCAGUCUCACUCACGUUCGCUCUGAACAGAAAAAAAAAAAAAGAACAGUUGCUGCACUUCACAAGGCAAGAAUCCAUCUCAUCAUUUUCUCCUGGGGGGGGGGGGGGGG
rnacentral:lncRNA from 1 species